rnacentral:sRNA from 1 species
GUGAAGCGGCCAGACCACCAGCUAAUGGAUGCGGAGCGGAGGGCCCGCUGACCGCUCUCCGCGCCUGGAGCAGCUUGGCUUGGCUGGAGCUAAGAGCCAGACACACCACUGUGUGGAGGUGGGUGAUGUCUUCCUGUGCUAAAAGGGGUCCAAGCCGCCCUGCUGGGAGGCUUCUCUUCAAGAGUUCUGGGUGCCAGAGUGGAAGGCAUUUUCCCAUCAACUGGAGAGAGACGAAACAUCAGAGACCAGGAGGCUGUGGAGAAAGCAGCUGUCCCAGGUGCCUCAACUAUCAGAGGAGGGUCAGCGUCACGUGGCUGCCAGCAUCUUUGAGAAAAUCACUGGCAAUCGGACUUCAGAGCUGCGGGCACAGGUGUGGUUAGAACUGAGAUACGACCUGCCCACCUGGGUCAGGCCUAAAGACAAGAAGUCCUGAGUUCUUGCCACUGAGUAGGCCAGGGUCAUUUGUCCAGAAAACUUUGUGACUGUCUUUGAGUGACCUAGUCUGGGACCCAUUCAUUGGUGGGUUCUAAGGUUAGAAGCUCAUCCAGGAUAUUUUCAAUAUUAAGUCAGUGCAUA